GUGGCCGUGUCUUCUUGUGCUGACUAACGAAACCUAUAGUUUCUGGCUCGGUAUCGGUGAUGGAUGCGGGGCGCUACUGGUGUCGCCGGAGAGGAUGUUGCCAUCCUCGUGUCCUAUUUCUAGGCAUCAAGGAUAGACGCGCUAGAUGCCAUCGCCAUCAACUACGGCGACGAGGGAAAGCUGAAGCAAAAGACAAGGUGCCAAAGCAAGUUAAGAUUCAUAGGUCUACCGGUGCCGCGAAACAAAUGGCCGAUGCGAAGGCUGGCAUGGGAAAAAACAAGAAGGGCGAUAACAACGCUGAUGAUUAGAGUGAUGGUGAAAGCGACGAUGAUUCAGACAGAGCCUUGGAUGAUUCUAGCGAGGGUGAUGAUAUGCCCAUCAAUUUGACCAUCAAAUUAGGGACGAGACGAUCAGAAGCAUAGGAGAUGGCGGUCUGCGGUUGCAGCAUGAUCACCAUAACACGCAGGAACACGGCUAUGACCUCGUUCGCGACCAACUUGCAUACAUAGGC